rnacentral:misc_RNA from 1 species
UGAAUCUCUAGGAUAGAAGUGAGUAUGUACAAGUACAUAAUGGCAAAGCAGGAAUGUUUAGAUGUAGAUCAAUAGGUGUGCGAUAUAACCAGACGCUAGUGCUAUUGUUUCUGGUAUUAUUAAACAGCCAACAGUAGGCAUCUCUGGACAGGUACAAUUGGCUCUGGAUACAAACCAGUAUAUAUUUACAAAUACACAGCGUGGUUAUCUCAGUUCAGUUGUAAUUAGAAGGCAGAAUUAAUACAGAAAUCGUAUAUAUAAGCUAACAUAUUAUAUGGCUAUUGGAUAUAAUGUUCUUUCAUAGAAAAAGUAUCAUCUCACUGGAAAAACAGAAUGAUUUCAAUUAUACACCUAAAUGAAACUAACGUGGUGUGUACAGCAGGGAUACGACAACACAAUGACAAUAUCGGAUAUCUGACAUAUUGCAGUUAAAUGGGUGGUGGAAAGACCAUGCUGGAAAUGAACAAAAGCCGCCGAAGUAUCAGAUCCAAAUCCCAGUCACAGGCCUCACUUAUCAAAGUGAAAGGCCUGGAAGGCGAAGACAAUGGAACUUUGGAAAAGGGAAGAAGAAAAAGUGAGAACAGUCAGAGUACGGUCCAGGUCGAAAUCGAUCAGUCAGGACUUCAGAGGUUAUUACCCUCAUCUCUGAGGCAUCGUUUCGCUGACCAACAACUCGAAAGUUUAUAUAGAGCCUAUUAUUGUCGGCAGAAAAACAGUGCCGUGUUAGUUUUAAUCAUACUGUCUCUAUUCUUUUGCGUUACUUCUAUUAUUUUAUAUUGUAUAGCAUUCACCCAAAAGAAGAUUCCCCCGAUAGCUAUACUCUCAGUAUGUGUAGUCAUCAAUAUCGUCAUGUUCAUACUUCUAAAGUUCCGCCUGAUAUCAGAUAAACUUUUCAUGUACACUCCAUUCAUACCAUGGAUCUUAUUCGCAACGGAGAUCUACGUGGUCAUUGGUCUGGAAUCGGAACCUAUAGUCCCCUCCUUAGCCGUUGGCUGGCAGUGCUUUCUCGCCUACUUGAGCUACGUUAUGCUGCCCCUUCCCCUCAGAUGGUGCAUGCUGCUCAGUUCCCUGUCGUGCCUCGUCCAUACUAUUGUUGUUAUCGUCAUAUGCAUUCUGAACUACCCCAACGUCUACCAAAUUGGGAACGCGGUCGGUGCAAACAUAUUCUUAUUCCUCUGUGCCAACAUACUUGGAAUCAUUUCAUAUUUCUUCAACGAUAUCAAUCAGAGAAAAGCAUUUCUGGAAACAAAGGCGUCGUUGAACGUAAAAAUCAUCAUAGAGGAAGGCUCAAAGGAACAGGAACGUUUGCUUCUGUCCGUGCUCCCGAAACACGUGGCUGAUGAGAUGGUGCAAGAUAUGGGAGACGUUCUCGUCGCAGAUGGUCAGUUCAGAAAAAUCUACAUGAGUAGACACGAAAAUGUCAGUAUACUCUACGCUGAUAUUGUGGGGUUUACUGCAAUAUCGUCAAAAUGUACAGCUGGAGAAUUGGUAAAGAUCCUGAACGAAUUAUUUGCAAGAUUCGACAAACUCGCAGAGAAAUAUCAUCAACUUCGAAUUAAGAUCUUGGGAGAUUGUUACUAUUGUAUCAGCGGAGCGCCAGAGCCUCGGUCUGAUCAUGCCGUACUCAGUGUACACAUGGGGCUCGCCAUGGUCGAUGCCAUCAGCGAUGUUAGAGCCCAGACAAAGACUGAUGUGAAUAUGCGUGUAGGCAUUCACACUGGUGCAGUCUUGGGUGGUGUGGUAGGACAGAAACAAUGGCAAUUUGACGUCCUGGGCAAAGAUGUCUCGCUGGCCAAUAAGAUGGAGAGUGGAGGACUUGCCGGACGAGUCCAUAUAUCACAUUCCACGACUAAGUUUAUGCAUGGGGAGUUCGAAUUAGAGCCAGGUGAUGGCGACCAGAGAGAGGAAGCUAUACGAAUGGCAGGAAUGAAGACAUAUCUCAUUAAGUCAGUUAUUAAACCAUAUCCAGAGGGGACAUUAGACGAAAUCUACGUUGGUGGGAUGAUAUUUGACCAGGACGAUGACGAUAACAAUGAGCAAAAUAAGGAAGAAAAUCUCAACAAAUUGCUAUAUGAAGCCAUUGUAGAGAAAGAAGCCACUCAAGAUAUUGGCAAACGUAUUAAUUUCAUAACUAUGCAUUACCACGAUACGAACAUGGAAGAGCUGUUUGAUCGAAACCGUCAGAAGUUCAGUUCUGUUGCCAUCCUUGGUACAUGCGUAGUAUUGGUCUGCUGUUUCUUCUCAUACGUUUGUAUAGCACCAAAGAGUCUAUUCAGCAUAUUGACGUUCAUAAUUGGGGCUCUAUUGUUAACGGUAUUCACCGUGUUUCCAUUCGCCGCAAGUAGCCCAAAACGUUUUGUUGGAUGCGCAGUGUCUUUCUCACAAUGGCUUCUACGCAAACCUUGGCUCAGGGCAGGGUGGACUAUCUCCGCUAUUCUCGUCCUUGCUGCUUGUAAUAUUGUUUAUAUGUUCGGAUGUGAUUCCAACAUUUCCAAUACAUUCUCCCUGCCUUUGAACAGUGAAUCUCUCAACUGCGAGUAUCCCGUAUAUUUCUCAUACUAUGGCAUUCUCGUGCUGAUCGAAGUAACAGUGUUGGUGCAGCUGGGAUUCUUGGCGAAGAUACUUAUAUUGGUCCCACUCACUGUAGUGUAUUGUGUGUUGUAUGCAAUCGUUCUCCCGAACCUGUUUGACAGAUAUGAUAUAGCUCUAUAUGGUACCUACAAUACGUUGGCGACAACUGUAAGCACAAAGUAUUCUAUAGUUGGGAAGGCCAUCGCGAUCUCUUUGACACUUGCAUUCUACAUAAGACAUAAUGAGGUUGUUAUGCGCAAGUUGUUCAUUUGGAAGUAUGAGGCUGACGAGGCGAAAGAACUGAUUCAAAAACAAAGAGAGAAGAAUGAAGCCUUAGUAUACAAUAUUUUACCUGCUCAUGUGGCUAGGGACUUCAUUGGAACCAAGAAACGAGACGAAGAAUUGGUGAGUCAGGCGUAUGACGAGGCUGGUGUUAUAUUUGCAUCUUGCCCCAACUUUAACGACUUCUAUACGGAGGAUAGUGUCAACAAUGACGGCUUGGAGUGUCUCAGGUUCCUCAAUGAAAUCAUAUCUGACUAUGACGAGCUUCUCAAUGAGGCUCGAUUUAAAAACAUAAUAAAGAUUAAGACUAUCGGAUCCACGUACAUGGCGGCUAGUGGCAUGAACCUAGGAUACAGUAUCCCCAAGAAGGAGAACGGGGCAAAGCAGGAUGCACCCGUUAAAGAAAGAUGGCAGCACCUAGCUGAUUUGACAGACUUCGCAUAUGCGCUUAAAGAGACCCUGGACAGAAUCAAUUCUCAGUCCUUCAACUCUUUUGUCUUGAGAAUAGGCAUUAAUCAGGGGCCAAUUAUUGGCGGAGUGAUUGGAGCUAAAAAGCCCCAUUUUGACAUUUGGGGGAACACUGUUAAUGUGUCAAGUCGAAUGGAAUCAACUGGUCAGGCUGGAAAAAUUCAGUGUGUUGAGGAUACGAUGCUAAUACUCAAAGAAUUUGGUUUCACAUUUGAGAAGCGUGGAUUUGUGAAAGUAAAGGGAAAGGGUGAGCUGAUUACGUACUUCCUGACGGGAAAGGACGGGAAAAAUGGAGGAAGUCCUCUACCAAAUCAGCCACAAGAUGAUAUAUUUUAACAGUAUGACAUUUGAAGCUGAACCUCCAUUGGGAAGUUGACAUUAUCAAAAGUGUAGUGUAUGUAGAGAACUAAAAAACAGCUAAAAUUCUAUUCACUACCUUAGUUAUGGUACUCCUAUUUGUAUGAUCUAAAACGUAUUAAUAUAGAACCCAAAACGUAAAACUAUAGUGCUAUGUUUGUAUGACCCAAAUCUUAUUAUUAGUGCCGUGUGUGUAUGACGCAACAAAACGUAAAACUAUAGUACUAUGUUUUGUAUGA